UCGAGAUCAUCUAGUACAGUUUGCGUUGAAACUCUGAGAAGUUCUUACUCAUCAUCCUAAGAUAAUGAAAUUCAGUAAUUUUCGAAUAGAGAAAUAUUAGCAUGAUAAUUACGGAGCUAGGCUUUGUGGUCGUUCAUAUUUAUUCUCUUUGAGAUAUGCUAUUUAAUAUAAGAGAUGAAUUUCGUUCAUGAAUUGAAAGAAAUUACCUCUGUUUUUGUGCAAAAACCAUAUAAUUCUUUAUUCGAUAAAGUUUAUUAUGCUUAUUAAAAUCUGAAAUUUGAAGAACCUCUUACAUAAUAAUGAAGAAUAUGAUAUAAAUAUAUCAGACAGUAUUACUAACAUUAAAAAUUCAAGAUGGCAAUUGCAAGGCCUUUGGGUAUGGAAUUUGAUCAUAGUUGGCCAGAGAGUGCAGAAUGUUUAACACUUGAUUUUGGACCUUUUGAGACUGCUCACCGAUGGAGAAGAAUGCCAGAAUGUGAUGAAUUUGUUGGAGCUAGGUAAUAUCAGAUUUAUUUUUGUAGUGUUGAUUAAGAGUUUUGCUUAGAAAAGAACCGAUAGCUAUCACUCAUUCUGAAUUAUAAGUGCUUAAGUUCACAUUAAGAUACUCUCAGUUUGGUAGAUCAUACAGAAAGAAUAUUGAAUUUAAAAUAUAUUAUUAUUGCACUGCAAGUUAGUUUGAAUGAGUAUUCUAUAGAGGGAAAAAAGGAAUUGCAUUAUGCUCCUUUGGAAUUUCAAUACAAACUGCAUUUCCAGUAUUUUUUGUACUCUAUAUGUAUUUUAAAAUAAAUUAGUUUUUCUUCAUGUAUAUGGAAAUAAGGUCUGGCGUUUUAUGCUAAAUACAUUGUGAUUAAUUUCUGAUUUGAAAGUAUCCUCAUUUCAUAAAGAUACUGCAGUCAUAAGAAUUUUAUCCAGGAUUUACAAACCAUUCAGUAUGGUAGCUAGUACCCUGUACCCGUUCUACUGACCAUUGUAAAAAAAAAAAAAAAAAAAAAAAAAAAAAAAA